UUUUUUUUUUUUUUUUUCAGAUAGGGUCUCACUCUGUCACCCAAGCUAGAGUACAGUGGCAUGAUCAAAGCUCACUGUAGCCUCCACUUCCCAGGCCCAAGUGAUCCUCCUUCUACCUCAGCUUCCAGAGUAACUGGGACUACAGACUUGCACCACUACGCCUGGCUAAAUUUUUUUUUUUUCUUUGAACCGCAGUCUUGCUCUGUCACCCAGGCUGGAGUGCAGUGGCCGAUCUCAGCUCACUGCAACCUCUGCCUCCCAGGUUCAAGCAAUUCUCCUGCCUCAGCCUCCUGAGUAGCUAGGACUACAGGUGCCUACCACCACACUUGGCUAGUUUUCUGUAUUUUUAGUAGAGAUGGGGUUUCCCCAUGUUAGCCAGGAUGGUCUCCAUCUCCUGACCUCGUGAUCUGCCUGUCUUGGCCUCCCAGUGCUGGGAUUACAGGUGUGAGCCCUGUGAGUCUUUGACAGCUUCUUUGCUCACUGAUUUUUCUAGGUGUUCCAGACUCUUCCUGUGCUCUUCCCCAGACCUGGAAUCAGUGUUUCUCUAAGGAGUCUUGGUUCCCUUGAGAAGGAAAUGGUAUUUAGAGAUCACAAGCUGGGUGCUAGAGGUAUAAUCGGCUUUAAUUUUUUUUUCACUUUUUAUUUUGAAAUAAUUUUAGACUUACAGAAACGUUGCAAAAAUAGCACAGAGUUCCCGUAUAUCCUCUUACCCAGCUUCCUCUAAGGUUAACAUCUUACAUAACCAUAGUGCAUUUAUCAAACCAAUACAUUCACAUUGGCACAAUACUAUUAGCUGAACUACAGACUUGAUUCCGAUUUUACCAAUUUUUCCACUAACAUCCCAUUUUUGGGUGUGUUUAUUUGUUUUUCUGUCCUGGGAUCCAAUCCAGGUAAAUCAUCAUGUCUCCUUACCCUCCUUAAUGACAGUUCCUCAGUCUUUCCUUAUCCAUGACCUCAACACUUUUGAAGAAUACUGGUCAGGCAUUUGGGGAUUUGUUUGUUUGUUUGUUUUGUUUUGUUUUUGAGAUGGAGUCUCACUCUGUUGCCCAGGCUGGAGUGCAGUGGCACAAUCUCGGCUCACUGUAACCUCUACCUCCUGGGUUCAAGCAAUUCUCCUGCCUCAGCCUCCUGAGUAGCUAGGAUUACAGGCGCAUGCCACUAUGCCCAGCUAAUUUUUUUUUUCUUUUUUUAAUUUUUUAUUUUAGUAGAGAUUGGGUUUCACCAUGUUUCCCAGGCUGGUCUUGAACUCCUGAGCUCAGGUGAUCCACCCAGCUCGGCCUCCCAAAGUGCUGGUACUACAGGCGUGAGCCACCUCGCCUGGCCUGUUUUUUUUGUUGUUGUUUUGUUUUGUUUUGAGACAGGGUCUUGCUCUGUCACCCAGACUGGAGUGCAGUGGCACAAACCAUUUUACUGCAGCCUCAACCUCCUGGGCUCAUGCAACGCUCCCGCCUCAGCCUGCUGAGUAGCUGGGGCCACAGGUGCACACUAAUUACUUUUUAAUUUUUGGUAGAGAUGGGGUUUCACUAUGUUGCCCAGGUUGGUCUCAAACACCUGGGCUCAAGCCAUCCUCCCAUCUGGGCCUCGCAAAGCACUGGAAUGACAGGCAUGAGCCACUGCAUCUGGCCUGGUCAGGUGUUUCACAGAAUGUCCUUCACUUUGGAUUUGUCACUCCUUCCUACCUACCUACGUACCUUC
rnacentral:lncRNA from 1 species